ACUAGAAGAAUGAAAGCAGGAUGGUGCCAGGCUCUUUCCAGUGGUGCCCAGUGACAGGACGAGGAGCAAAGGCCAUAAACUAACACACAACAAGUGUCACCUCAACAUGAGGAAGAACUUCUUUACGUGAGGGUGUCAGAGCCCUGGCACAGGCUGCCCAGGGGG